rnacentral:rRNA from 1 species
GGCAGAAGGUUUCGGCCUUAGUGGCGGACGGGUGAGUAACGCGUAGGAAUCUAUCCAUGGUGGGGGAUAACUCUGGGAAACUGGAGCUAAUACCGCAUGAUACCUGAGGGUCAAAGCGUAAGUCGCCUGUGGAGGAGCCUGCGUUCGAUUAGCUUGUUGGUGGGGUAAUGGCCUACAAGGCGAUGAUCGAUAGCUGGUCUGAGAGGAUGAUCAGCCACACUGGGACUGAGACACGCCCAGACUCCUACGGGAGGCAGCAGUGGGGAAUAUUGGACAAUGGGGGCAACCCUAUCCGCAAUGCCGCGUGUGUGAAGAAGGUUUUCGGAUUGUAAAGCACUUUCGGCGGGGACGAUGAUGACGGUACCCGCAGAAGAAGCCCCGGCUAACUUCGUGCCAGCAGCCGGGUAAUACGAAGGGGGCUAGCGUUGCUCGGAAUGACUGGGCGUAAAGGGCGUGUAGGCGGUUUGUACAUCAGAUGUGAAAUCCCCGGGCUUAACCUGGGAGCUGCAUUUGAUACGUGCAGACUAGAGUGUGAGAGAGGGUUGUGGAAUUCCCAGUGUAGAGGUGAAAUUCGUAGAUAUUGGGAAGAACACCGGUGGCGAAGGCGGCAACCUGGCUCAUGACUGACGCUGAGGCGCGAAAGCGUGGGGAGCAAACAGGAUUAGAUACCCUGGUAGUCCACGCUGUAAACGAUGUGUGCUGGAUGUUGGGCAACUUAGUUGUUCAGUGUCGUAGCUAACGCGAUAAGCACACCGCCUGGGGAGUACGGCCGCAAGGUUGAAACUCAAAGGAAUUGACGGGGGCCCGCACAAGCGGUGGGACCAUGUGGUU